rnacentral:rRNA from 1 species
UACGUAGGGUGCAAGCGUUAAUCGGAAUUACUGGGCGUAAAGCGUGCGCAGGCGGUUGUGCAAGACAGGUGUGAAAUCCCCGGGCUUAACCUGGGAACUGCACUUGUGACUGCACGGCUGGAGUACGGCAGAGGGGGAUGGAAUUCCGCGUGUAGCAGUGAAAUGCGUAGAUAUGCGGAGGAACACCGAUGGCGAAGGCAGUCCCCUGGGCCUGUACUGACGCUGAGGAGCGAAAGCGUGGGGAGCGAACAGG